rnacentral:rRNA from 1 species
CCGCCUCUCCAACCGCCGGCGAUGCCUCCCCCGGCGGGGCUGCUCCCCUGGCCGUCCCCGACCGCCCCGGCGCCGCGUAUCACCACCACGACCCAGCCGCGACCACCGCCUCGCGUUCGCCCUCCUCCUCCUCCCCCUCCCCCUCGCCGCGCCCCGCAGCCACCUCCGCGGCUCAAGCCGGUCGUCGCGCCAAAACCGGCCACCUCCCUGCCCCCGCCGCCCGUCAUUGUCUCCACCAUGGACCCCGCCUCCACCUGCCUCAACUGCCCCCACUUCGGCUCGUGCUCCGGGUGCACGCACGAGUUCGACCUCGAUAAGCCGCCGGUGCUGCAGGAGGUGGCGGAUUUCUUCAGUGGCCACGGAAUCGAAGACUUCACCUUCAGCAGGGGCAGGCUGUCAGAAUGGCGGUGCCGGGCGAAGCUAGCGGUACGUGGAACACCAGAGAAACCGCUAAUUGGCCUGUAUCAGGAAGGGACACAUACUGUUCAAGAUAUUCCCGACUGCAGAGCCCAUCACCCAAGCAUUAACUAUGCUAUUAAGCUUCUGAAGCAAGGUAUAUCUGAGCUCAGUGUGCAGCCUUUUGAUGAAGAUGCUGGUACUGGUGAACUAAGAUACGUGCAGAUGACCGUGACGACAUAUAACACGUCUAUUCCAGUUGCGCAAAGAUACGAGCAAGCGAGAGUUCAAGUUUCAUUGGUUUGGAAUUCAAGAGACGAGCGCUCCAAAAAUUCAGAGAAGUUGAGUUUGUUGCAAGAAUUCUUAUGGACAAAUGGUGGACCAAGAAGUAAUUUGCAUGUGAUUCACUCUAUAUGGGCCAAUUUCCAGACAUCAACCAGCAAUAUAAUUUUUGGGCAUAAAUGGAGACAUAUCGGCGGGGAGGCAGAUCUGUGGGAGCGUUUUGGGGGAGUUGAUAUUUGUCUUGACCCUUAUAGCUUUGGGCAGGCUAAUACUCUGUCUUUUAACUCGUUACUGCAUAAGUUGAUCAAAUAUGUACCACGGGGCUCAACAGUUGUUGAUUUGUACUCUGGUGCCGGUGUUAUUGGGUUAGCCAUCGCGGCUUCUAGGAAAUGCAGGUCUGUGAGAUGUGUUGAGAUCAACAAAAUGUCGAAAUUGUCUUUUGAGAAGUCAGCAAGCCGACUUCCACCAAACCUGGGUUGCACCAUAACUUGGCACAAUACCGAUGCUUCAGCUGAACCCAUUCACUGGCUUGAAGGGUCAAGUGUUGCUAUCGUGGAUCCUCCCAGGAAAGGACUGCACCCUUCUGUUAUCAAUGCUCUACAGAGAGUUGCUUUAUCUGAGCGCAAGGCGUUCAAGGCCAAAAGUUCACUUACAAAGGUCAAAGAUGAGAAGAGACCAUGGAUCCUGCGAGCAAGGGAACCAGCUGUUCAUGUUGAUAGUACAAUCAUGGAAGAAAGUAGUGGAAUAUGGCCAGAGACCCUCAUAUACAUCAGCUGCGGAUGGGACAGUUUUAAAAAGGAUUGCAAAAGCUUGAUAUCCAACGAGGCCUGGUAUUUAGAGAAUGCACAUGCUUUUAACUUCUUCCCGGGCACUGAUAGCAUCGAAGUCCUGGCGAUCUUCAGACGGGACUCUGGAAUUGCUCAGAAGAAAACAAAAACAAAAACAAAAGGAAAAACGAAAACAAAAGUGAAAAAGAAGAAAGCCAAGCCAUCGAAAGUCUGACCAGAUAGAAAUGAUUUGGUCAUACAAAAAAGGCUGGAAGUGGCACGGGCUGUGGUGCUAAUAUGGCGUAUGCUUGCACGUUUACCGCCGACCCAGAAAGUGAUGGGUUGCCGCGAGGAAUUUCACACCGGUCAAACGAAACGUCGACUCAAGGAUCUCAAUUUAGGGCAAGCACUGAAACUGUGCAGUACAGGUUAGCUUAAGAGGGGAACUCGAGCGCAAGGGGACUGAUGUCAAUCGCUGUUUCACCAAAUUUUGGCUGUGCAUUUCAGUUCGCCGUUGUUGUUGGAAAUAUAGAGCGUAGACUAUCUGCAGUGUUCUGUAUCUAGUGAGGACAAAGAACCUCAACCUUUUGUCAAAUGAAACAUCAUUGUAUCUUUAGGUUGUAUACUUUUGUUUUCGAUUGCUCAAUCACCCUGUAUCUACCACCGUUAGGAUGUGGCCGGGGGAAAAUCAACUUGUAUGUCCGGAGAAUUUAGCAAAAGGCAGCAAAGUUGUACUCCCCUCUGCUCCAAAAUAAGUGUCCUGACUCAAUACAAAGUUGUACUAAAUCAACAACACUUAUUUCUUAUUUCCAAAAUAAGUGUCACUCAGUACAAAGUUGCACUAAAUCAACAAUACUUAUUUUGGGAUGGAGGGAGUAGUAAAUUGAGAUCAUUUCGUAUGAAUCGG